ensembl:snoRNA small nucleolar RNA, C/D box 66
CUCCAGUGAUGACCUCUAUUAUGUGCCACGUGUCUGGGCCACUGACCUAAACUGAUGGGACUGAGGAACUGAGGAG